rnacentral:rRNA from 1 species
CCUACGGGAGGCAGCAGUGAGGAAUAUUGGUCAAUGGGCGGGAGCCUGAACCAGCCAAGCCGCGUGAGGGAAGAAGGUACAGCGUAUCGUAAACCUCUUUUGUCAGGGAACAAAGGCGGGGACUAGUCCCCGGAUGAGGGUACCUGAAGAAAAAGCAUCGGCUAACUCCGUGCCAGCAGCCGCGGUAAUACGGAGGAUGCGAGCGUUAUCCGGAUUUAUUGGGUUUAAAGGGUGCGCAGGCGGCCUGUUAAGUCAGCGGGAAAAGCCCGGGGCUCAACCCCGGCGAGCCGUUGAAACUGGCGGGCUGGAGUUGGGGAGAAGUACGCGGAAUGCGCGGUGUAGCGGUGAAAUGCUUAGAUAUCGCGCAGAACCCCGAUGGCGAAGGCAGCGUACCGGCGCCACACGGACGCUGAGGCACGAAAGCGUGGGUAUCGAACAGGAUUAGAGACCCUUGUAGUC